AGUGAACGCUGGCGGUAGGCCUAACACAUGCAAGUCGAACGGCAGCACAGUAAGAGCUUGCUCUUACGGGUGGCGAGUGGCGGACGGGUGAGGAAUACAUCGGUAUCUACUUUUUCGUGGGGGAUAACGUAGGGAAACUUACGCUAAUACCGCAUACGACCUACGGGUGAAAGCAGGGGAUCUUCGGACCUUGCGCGAUUGAAUGAGCCGAUGUCGGAUUAGCUAGUUGGCGGGGUAAAGGCCCACCAAGGCGACGAUCCGUAGCUGGUCUGAGAGGAUGAUCAGCCACACUGGAACUGAGACACGGUCCAGACUCCUACGGGAGGCAGCAGUGGGGAAUAUUGGACAAUGGGCGCAAGCCUGAUCCAGCCAUACCGCGUGGGUGAAGAAGGCCUUCGGGUUGUAAAGCCCUUUUGUUGGGAAAUAAAAGCAGCAGGUUAAUACCCCGCUGUUCUGACGGUACCCAAAGAAUAAGCACCGGCUAACUUCGUG
rnacentral:rRNA from 1 species